UAAUAGCAGAAGAGAUCGACAGCAUCUUGAUGAAAAUCUUGAAAAGGAAAAAGCCGCCACGUGUACCACAGAAAACAAAAGCGCAACCAAAGAUGAACAAGAAGAAUGAUCAUGAACAACCAAGCAAGAAAAAAAUAAUGUGGGAGUACAAAAGAACUUGGUUUAGGUUCAUGAACACAUGGUCAUGCACACGCACCGUCAGGUUCGUUUUGAUUAUACACAAGAUAAGGUGUAGAUACGUUUAGAGGGGUUCGGAUACAAUGAUGUGGAAUAUUUGUUUCUAUAAUCAAGUUUCCAUGAUAUAUAGGCAGUGAGAACUUAGAAUUCGGGUUUAAAAUUUGUCCCGAUAUUUGUUUAGACUUUAUUUAUACCAUUUUUCGUGUUCCUCUUAUAUCCUUAACUACUUUAAUGACAAAAAGUUAUAUUUUUGAA